AGCAUUUGCUGAUGAACCAUGAUGAAAAAAAUUGGAAGGGAACAGGAAACACAUACACUAGCAUCUGGUUUCACCACACUUGAGCCCUUGAGAACUAUUAAGUGAUAGUUUGACACAACUCAGAGUAAAAUCUGUCUGCUCUCUGAAAGUGUGUAUUUUCAUAAUUUAAGUAAUUCAUGCAAAUUAGUUUAGAUCAAAAUGUGAGCUCCAUUGUUGCCUACAAGUCAGCAUGACUUCAUGAUUGUGAUAUAAUAGUAUCAUCACCUCAGGGAAGGAUACUUCUGUGAAAUUAAGUGAUAUAGUCCUAUCUGAGUAGGAAUAUUGUACAUGAAAAAUCCUGCUAAUAAGCAUAGGUCUUAUUUUGAUAUUUUGGAAUUUUAUAGGGAAUUAAAUACAAUAAAAUAAAGCAUCCUACUGAGGUCAGACAUCUGAGAACAACAGGUUAGUCAAAUCCUCAUUCCUGUGAAAUUUACCAAGGGGCUUUUAAAAUGGCCAAACGUUAAAGUAUCUAGCAUGAUGCUUGAAAUAUAAUAUGUGGAAAUACACUAAACUAAAAUGACCCUGUCCAGUCUCAUGGCUUCAAAUACCAGCCCCAUGCUAAUGAUCAAAUUUUCUAUGCAUUCAAAUCUCCCGAACUCAGAUUUAGAUAUCUAACAUCUCUACUGGUUUCUUCACCUGUUUCCCACAUCAAACUUCUUUCUUUUCUUAAUCCAUUUCCCCCCACCUUUUCCAUUAUAUUAAUCAUAAUUAAAUAGGGACGUUUGGCUCAGGCUCUGAAAUUUGACUCACAUCCCAUGUCAAAUUCAACACCAAAUCCUCUCAACUCUACUUUAAAAAUAUUUUCAAAAUAUGACCACUUCUCUCCACUACAACUCUAGCUCAAAUCAUCCUAUCUUUUUCCUAGGUGAUUGCAAUAACAUCUCACUACCUGGAUCUACUCUUUGUCCUAUAGUCAAUUCUUAUCUCAGCAGACAGCAGACUAUUAAAGCUGUGAACCAUAUCAGCCUCUAUUGCCUUCUGUAGCUUCCAUUUCACCUCCAUAGAAAUCUCCACGAUGACAUCUAAGACUCUCUAUGGUUGGUCCCUCUUCUUGCCUUACAACUAAAAACUCUUCUACCAUUUCCACGGUAUUCACUCUGCUGUAGCAGGGAGACCUAUUUGCUGUCCCUUAAACAAAGCAGAUGUCUUUCUCCUCUGGUCUUUGCAUUUGCUGGUCCUAUUACUAGCAGUGUUAUUUUUUACAUCCACUUGAUGACUUCCCUCAUCUCCUUCAAGUCCUUGAUGGAGAAUGUUCUUAUACAGUAAGGACGUACCUGGCAACCAUAUUUAAAACAGAAUCUUCAGUCCCAUGUCCAGAACUCUUUAUGCGCCUUCUCUGUUUUAUAAUAGUUUGAGAAAAUCAGUAAGUGUUUUGGGGACACAGCACUUACCACCACCUGACAUAAUUAGGCAUAAAACUGUAUUUCUUAAUUAUUUUCUUUCUUAUAUAUUUGUUUGCCUUUCAUCAUCUAAGCAUUUAGCAGAAGUUGUCUAUGUUAUUCACCAUGGUAUUCCUAAUUCCUUAAAAAGUGUUGGAUAUAAAACAAACAUACAUUGAACAUUUGUUGAAUAAAAGAAUUAUAUGUAAAAUUACGGUCAAGAAUUUUUCGAGGGGAAAACUCUUAUCCUCUAAACACAUUUAUUUGGAUACCUGGUAAAUUAUACUAUAAUUAACUUGGGAAAUAAACUUGUUCCUCUUAUGUUAAUUGAGGGAAGCUUUGGCAGGAGCAUUCUGCUUCAUCUCCAAGUAUUUUAAUCAAAGCCUAUUGUUAUUUUUUUCAAAUAUGACAACCCUAUGGGACCCACCGAGCUGAAGAUUAGUGAAGAUUAGCUGGGACACCCAGUUCCUGUUCUCAUUGUGGAGUGCCAGAUUUCCUGGGCAAACAGUGUGAGUAGAUAAAGCACAUGGGUGGGGUGGCGUCAGGUUUCAGGCAUCAGCCCAUUCCAGGCUUUGCUCUUCAACACAUACUGUCCUCCUGAGCCAGGACGCAGACCAUGACUACUUUUGCCUCUGCACGUCUGUUCUGAUUUCUUUCUUCAUGUGGGAUGCCUCUCUAUCCUUCUCCUGCUUUUAAUAUGGAGCUUCAGUCUCUAAGCUAAAAGGCCAAGUCCAGAUUCACCUGCCAAUGAAGCUCUUUAAAUUAUCUCUUCUUUCUCAGGACUCACUGGCUAUCAGACAUUACUUUAGGUGAAGACUUUCCAGUCUGACUUCCCUCACCUGAGCAAAAAGAAGCAUUGGAGAAGACACUUGAUGUCACAUUAAUGAAAGGGAAUAAUGGAUUAAGGAAAGCUUGGUAGCAAAAAGAAGUUAAAAUAUAUCUGAGAAAAGUAUUUUAAACCAUAAAUAACUUGUAAGUAUCUGCAAAUAUAUGUUUAUUAUAAAAUAUUCAAAUAAGAGAAAUGUAUAGAAAAAAACCCUAUGCCCACAUUUACCCCAUUUCCUAUAACCCUCAAUAUUAUUGCUAUCUUUAAUGUAACCACACUUUAGUAUGUACCUCUUCAAAUAUUUGGGUGUAUGCAUAUGUGUUCACAUUUUUGCAUAAAGUGGGUCACAAAAAUGCAAUAUUUUUGCAAUUUGCUUUUUUUUACAUAAUGUAUCCUUGACGUUCUUCCAUAUCAGUACAUGUGAAUCUAAUUAUAUUCUUAUUAGUUUAAUUAUAGCAUCAGCUGCAUAAUUAUACUACUUUAAUUAUCAAUCACAUUUUAAAUUUCUUUUUAAUAAGCUUUUAAUUUUAAAAUAGUUUUAGAUUUACCAAAAAAUUACUAAGAUAGUACAGAGACUUCUAUACAGCCCACAUCA
rnacentral:lncRNA from 1 species